GAUCCUGGCUUAGGAUGAACGCUAGCGGCAGGCUUAACACAUGCAAGGUCGAGGGGCAUCGGGAGUAGCAAUACUGCCGGCGACCGGCGCAAGGGUGCGUAACGCGUGAGCAACAUGCCCGUAUCAGGGGGAUAAUCCAUGGAAACGUGGUCUAAUACCCCAUAGUAAUUAUGUAAGGCAUCUUAUAUAAUUUAAAGCUUUGGUGGAUACGGAUUGGCUCGCGUGAACAUUAGCUAGAUGGUAAGGUAACGGCUUACCAUGGACUACGAUGUCUAGGGGUUCUGAGAGGAAGGUCCCCCACACUGGAACUGAGACACGGUCCAGACUCCUACGGGAGGCAGCAGUGAGGAAUAUUGGACAAUGGAUGGAAAUCUGAUCCAGCCAUGCCGCGUGCAAGGAAGACGGCCCUAUGGGUUGUAAACUGCUUUUGUAUGGGAGCAAUAAGGGCUACGCGUAGUCCGAUGAGAGUACCAUACGAAUAAGCACCGGCUAACUCCGUGCCAGCCGCCGC
rnacentral:rRNA from 1 species